UACGUAGGGUGCGAGCGUUAUCCGGAAUUAUUGGGCGUAAAGAGCUCGUAGGCGGUUUGUCGCGUCUGCUGUGAAAACUCGGGGGCUUAACCCCCGGGCCUGCAGUGGGUACGGGCAGACUAGAGUGCGGUAGGGGAGACUGGAAUUCCUGGUGUAGCGGUGAAAUGCGCAGAUAUCAGGAGGAACACCGGUGGCGAAGGCGGAUCUCUGGGCCAUUACUGACGCUGAGGAGCGAAAGCGUGGGGAGCGAACAGG
rnacentral:rRNA from 1 species